GUUUCGGCCUAAUCCACUUGGAUCCAAGCCGCCACAUAAACCUCCCAUCACCUCCUCCUCCGGUUCUCCGCCUCUUUGAACCCGCGCUCGUCGCCUCCAUUUACAUUCCGGCCAACGGAAGAGGAAAACCGGAAGCGAAAUGGAAUACAAAGACAAGGUCAGAAUCGCAGUGGCCGUAGCUUCUCUUGCAGCAAUUUCAAUCUUUUUCACGAGGCAGUAUCGUAGACGAGGAAAGCAAAAAUGCCUUACAAGUAAAUGCUAUUUGCAUUCCGACUCAAAGCCACAGUUCGCUUUCAAGCGCGUUUUGGCUGAUAACUCUUUUUCUCAGUUCAAGCACUUGAAGCUCCCAAACUCCAAUAAUGAGAUGUCUUCGAAUUUGCAUCCGUAUGAACGAGAGAUUACAGCUUUCAUAGAGAAUCCGCGAGUUGAAUUUGAAUUUGAUAUGUAUUCUAGCAUAGAUCUGAAGGAAAUGAAUGAUGUCUAUGUUUGGGUUGAAACCGAGUCUCAGUUGAAGGAGCUAGCUGAUGCAUUGAGUAAAGAGAGAUUUUUUGCUGUUGAUACUGAGCAGCAUAGCUUACGCUGCUUUCUAGGUUUUACCGCUUUAAUUCAGAUAUCUACUCAAAAAGAAGACUAUUUGCUGGAUACAAUUGCAUUACAUGAUGCAAUGGCAAUUUUAAACCCAGUUUUUGCUGAGCCUAAUAUUUGCAAGGUGUUCCAUGGGGCGGAUAAUGAUGUUCUCUGGCUACAAAGAGACUUCCAUAUAUACGUAGUUAAUUUGUUUGACACUGCAAAGGCAUGUGAGGUGCUGUCUAAACCACAGAAAUCACUGGCAUACUUGCUGGAAACUUAUUGUGGUGUUGCUACAAACAAAUUACUACAGCGUGAAGACUGGAGGCAACGUCCAUUAUCAGUAGAGAUGUUACACUAUGCUCGAACAGAUGCACACUAUCUAUUGUACAUUGCAGGUUGUUUAAUUGCUGAGCUCAAACAACAAGAUAAUGACAACUCAACUCAUCCAGAUGGCAAGUUGCAUUUAACUCUUGAGGCUAUUCGACGUUCAAACAUGACUUGUCUGCAACUCUACACUAAGGAGGUUGAAGAUUUUCCUGGUGAGUCUGCUGCAUCAUCAAUUUUUUCUCGACAUUUGAAUGGUCAAGGAGGUUCAUCAGUUUCAUGUGAGAUACAGGAUCUUGUCAGACGUCUAUGCACAUGGAGAGAAUUAAUGGCUCGUGUGCAUGAUGAGAGCUUAAGAUUUGUAUUAUCAGACCAGGCCAUUGUUUCUAUUGCAGACAAGUUUGCAACAGAACCAACAGAAAUAUGUGACACCAUAGCUCAAGCUGAUGUGAAUGUGGAUCCUAUGAAUUUGAAUUCUGCUCUGCCAUCUCCAUCCCCUGUUGUUUACAGUCAUUUGGACGAUCUUUGUUGCUUAAUCCAGGAAAGUAAAAGCGACAUUGAUAAUAUUUUCUCAGUGCUUCUUCAAAAAUGCCUGGGUACAAAUGGGAGUUGUCCGUUGUCUGUUUAUAAUUACGCAUUACUGGUUAACUGUGACAUGAGACCAACAAAUAGAUCAGUUUUAAAGAGGAAUGGGGUUAAAAAUUCUAGGCAAGUAGCUCGGAAGGCUUCACGAGAGCUUUUCGUUCAAAAAUUCUCCUGCAAAUCUCCGGUGUAUCAUAACUGUAGGAUCUAUGCGAAUGAUGGCCGGUUACUUUGCUAUUGUGAUAAGAGAAAGCUUGAAUGGUACCUCAAUCGAGAGCUGGCAAAACUUGUUGAUGACAAUCCCCCUGCCAUAAUGCUUCUUUUUGAACCAAAGGGUCGACCUGAAGAUGAAGACAAUGAUUUUUACAUCCAAAGUAAGAAAAAUAUAUGUGUCAGCUGUGGUGAAGGAAAUCAUUACUUACGAUAUCGAAUAAUCCCGUCAUGCUACAGAAUGCACUUCCCCGAGCAUUUGAAAAGCCAUCGUUCUCAUGAUAUUGUCCUGCUUUGUGUGGACUGUCAUGAGAUUGCUCAUGCUGCUGCUGAGAAACACAAAAAAGAGGUGGCUGCGGAAUUUGGGAUUCCAUUAUUUGUUCGUAAGGUGGUUGAUUCUAGAGAAGCCCCUGUUAUACCUGGGCCAACUUCAUCAGUGAUAAAUGCUGAAGAGGCAGGGGUAUCUCCUUUGCAAUUGCGCACUGCUGCAAUGGCUCUUUUGCGCCAUGGACCCAGAAUGCCACCUAGGCGCCGAGAAGAACUGACACAGAUUGUCGCACAAUAUUAUGGAGGAAGGGAGAUCACUGAGGAAGAUCUGAAAAGAGCCUUGCUGGUGGGCAUGAGUCCACAUGAAAGAAGGCGAUAUGAGAAGAAAGGUCUUUCUUCAAAAUAUUCUCCUCGUGAUAUCCUUCCAAACAACAAGAAGAUUCAUGAUUCUGUUACCAUUGUCCAAUCUUCCAUUGACACAUCCGAAGUUGAUUCUCCAGAUGGUUCCCGAACUACUGAAGCAGAGCCAACUGGCGUACAGGAUGAUAAAGACUAUGUCGCAGUAACAGACUCCGAUUCAAGUGUCUGUUCUAAUCUACAAGUUGCAGCAGUUUCAGCUACUGCUUAUAAGGAUACAAAUUUAGAUGAAAGUGAAAUUUCUGCCAUAAACACAUGUGAAAAUUGUGAAAGAAGUCCACCGAAGGAAGCAGUUGGCAUAAAUUAUCCUAGACAUGAAGGCAGUGCUCUGCCUGCAAAUAAUUCAAAGCUAUCGCUAUUAGGACAUGGACCACAUGGGAAGCAAGUCGUGGAACAUAUACUUCAAGAAUAUGGAGACGACGGCAUUCACCAAUUUUGUCAGCGAUGGAGACAAGUUUUUGUUGAAGCAGUUCAUCCUCGUUUCUUACCUGCUGGUUGGGAUGUAAGGCACAGAUCUUUCACUGCAUCCGUUGUAAAACAUUGAGCGUACCAUGCAUUGCUGCCGCUAAUAAAAUACAUACUGUCACCAAACACCAGUAUGUCUCCAGCAAAUUCAUUAGUUUACAUAGCCUAGGAGGAUUUGAUUGUGAGACGCCGUUUUUGGCAGUGGCAAAAGGGACUUCGGAGAGUUCAGCGUAUACAAUCCAGCAAAGAACACAUCAACAGCAAAAGGUUAGAAGAGUACAUUCACCAGCUGCUGCAAAGAUUAGAAUAUCAUUUAGGUUCACUGGUUGGAAUUUUGAAUUAAAAAUCAGUUUGACAAAUAACAAAACAUUUUGAGUUAUUAUUUGUUGUUGUUGUUAUUAUUAUUAUUAUUAUUGCGGAAAGAUGAUGAAUUUUGAUCAGAAAUUGAUAGAACCCAGUAAUGCGAUUGGCUCGUUGCUUGCUGGAUUAAAUUU